UAUGGAGUUGGCCAAAAUGUUGGUUCAGGUUUUUCCAUACCAUCUUACACAAAAACCCAAAUGAACUUUUUGGCCAACCCCA
rnacentral:miRNA from 1 species